GGCCCGUUGGUCAAGCGGUUAACACACCGCCCUUUCACGGCGGUAACACGGGUUCGAAUCCCGUACGGGUCA
rnacentral:tRNA from 1 species